rnacentral:rRNA from 1 species
GACGAACCGUGCGAACGUUAUUCGGAAUCACUGGGCUUAAAGCGCGUGUAGGCGGGGCGGUGCGUCGGUCGCUGAAAUCCCCCGGCUCAACCGGGGAAGGGGCGCCGAUACGACCGGCCUGGAGCGACGUAGGGGGAACUGGAACUUCCGGUGGAGCGGUGAAAUGCGUUGAGAUCGGAAGGAACGCCCGUGGCGAAAGCGAGUUCCUGGACGUCGGCUGACGGCUGACGACGCGAAAGCCAGGGGAGCGAACGGG